CCGUGACUCGGCGAAAAGUCCAUUGAACCUUAUCAUUUAGAGGAAGGAGAAGUCGUAACAAGGUUUCCGUAGGUGAACCUGCGGAAGGAUCAUUG
rnacentral:rRNA from 2 species